rnacentral:rRNA from 1 species
ACUAUCGUUAACUGAAUACAUAGGUUAACGAGGCGAACCGGGGGAACUGAAACAUCUAAGUACCCCGAGGAAAAGAAAUCAACCGAGAUUCCCCCAGUAGCGGCGAGCGAACGGGGAGCAGCCCAGAGUCUGAAUCAGCUUGUGUGUUAGUGGAACGGUCUGGAAAGUCCGACGGUACAGGGUGAUAGUCCCGUACACCAAAAUGCACAGGUUGUGAACUCGAAGAGUAGGGCGGGACACGUGGUAUCCUGUCUGAAUAUGGGGGGACCAUCCUCCAAGGCUAAAUACUCCUGACUGACCGAUAGUGAACCAGUACCGUGAGGGAAAGGCGAAAAGAACCCCGGCGAGGGGAGUGAAAAAGAACCUGAAACCGUGUACGUACAAGCAGUGGGAGCACCUUCGGGUGUGACUGCGUACCUUUUGUAUAAUGGGUCAGCGACUUAUAUUCUGUAGCAAGGUUAACCGUAUAGGGGAGCCGCAGGGAAACCGAGUCUUAACUGGGCGUUAAGUUGCAGGGUAUAGACCCGAAACCCGGUGAUCUAGCCAUGGGCAGGUUGAAGGUUGGGUAACACUAACUGGAGGACCGAACCGACUAAUGUUGAAAAAUUAGCGGAUGACUUGUGGCUGGGGGUGAAAGGCCAAUCAAACCGGGAGAUAGCUGGUUCUCCCCGAAAGCUAUUUAGGUAGCGCCUCGUGAACUCAUCUUCGGGGGUAGAGCACUGUUUCGGCUAGGGGGUCAUCCCGACUUACCAACCCGAUGCAAACUACGAAUACCGAAGAAUGUUAUCACGGGAGACACACGGCGGGUGCUAACGUCCGUCGUGAAGAGGGAAACAACCCAGACCGCCAGCUAAGGUCCCAAAGUCAUGGUUAAGUGGGAAACGAUGUGGGAAGGCACAGACAGCCAGGAUGUUGGCUUAGAAGCAGCCAUCAUUUAAAGAAAGCGUAAUAGCUCACUGGUCGAGUCGGCCUGCGCGGAAGAUGUAACGGGGCUAAACCAUGCACCGAAGCUGCGGCAGCGACACUAUGUGUUGUUGGGUAGGGGAGCGUUCUGUAAGCCUGCGAAGGUGACCUGUGAGGGUUGCUGGAGGUAUCAGAAGUGCGAAUGCUGACAUAAGUAACGAUAAAGCGGGUGAAAAGCCCGCUCGCCGGAAGACCAAGGGUUCCUGUCCAACGUUAAUCGGGGCAGGGUGAGUCGACCCCUAAGGCGAGGCCGAAAGGCGUAGUCGAUGGGAAACAGGUUAAUAUUCCUGUACUUGGUGUUACUGCGAAGGGGGGACGGAGAAGGCUAUGUUAGCCGGGCGACGGUUGUCCCGGUUUAAGCAUGUAGGCUGAUUGUCCAGGCAAAUCCGGAUAAUCAAGGCUGAGGUGUGAUGACGAGGCACUACGGUGCUGAAGUAACAAAUGCCCUGCUUCCAGGAAAAGCCUCUAAGCAUCAGGUAACAUCAAAUCGUACCCCAAACCGACACAGGUGGUCAGGUAGAGAAUACCAAGGCGCUUGAGAGAACUCGGGUGAAGGAACUAGGCAAAAUGGUGCCGUAACUUCGGGAGAAGGCACGCUGGUGUGUAGGUGAAGUCCCUGCGGAUGGAGCUGAGACCAGUCGAAGAUACCAGCUGGCUGCAACUGUUUAUUAAAAACACAGCACUGUGCAAACACGAAAGUGGACGUAUACGGUGUGACGCCUGCCCGGUGCCGGAAGGUUAAUUGAUGGGGUUAUCCGUAAGGAGAAGCUCUUGAUCGAAGCCCCGGUAAACGGCGGCCGUAACUAUAACGGUCCUAAGGUAGCGAAAUUCCUUGUCGGGUAAGUUCCGACCUGCACGAAUGGCGUAAUGAUGGCCAGGCUGUCUCCACCCGAGACUCAGUGAAAUUGAACUCGCUGUGAAGAUGCAGUGUACCCGCGGCAAGACGGAAAGACCCCGUGAACCUUUACUAUAGCUUGACACUGAACAUUGAGCCUUGAUGUGUAGGAUAGGUGGGAGGCUUUGAAGCGUGGACGCCAGUCUGCGUGGAGCCAACCUUGAAAUACCACCCUUUAAUGUUUGAUGUUCUAACGUUGGCCCCUUACCGGGGUUGCGGACAGUGUCUGGUGGGUAGUUUGACUGGGGCGGUCUCCUCCCAAAGCGUAACGGAGGAGCACGAAGGUUAGCUAAUCCUGGUCGGACAUCAGGAGGUUAGUGCAAUGGCAUAAGCUAGCUUGACUGCGAGCGUGACGGCGCGAGCAGGUGCGAAAGCAGGUCAUAGUGAUCCGGUGGUUCUGAAUGGAAGGGCCAUCGCUCAACGGAUAAAAGGUACUCCGGGGAUAACAGGCUGAUACCGCCCAAGAGUUCAUAUCGACGGCGGUGUUUGGCACCUCGAUGUCGGCUCAUCACAUCCUGGGGCUGAAGUAGGUCCCAAGGGUAUGGCUGUUCGCCAUUUAAAGUGGUACGCGAGCUGGGUUUAGAACGUCGUGAGACAGUUCGGUCCCUAUCUGCCGUGGGCGCUGGAGAAUUGAGGGGGGCUGCUCCUAGUACGAGAGGACCGGAGUGGACGCAUCACUGGUGUUCGGGUUGUCAUGCCAAUGGCACUGCCCGGUAGCUAAAUGCGGAAGAGAUAAGUGCUGAAAGCAUCUAAGCACGAAACUUGCCCCGAGAUGAGUUCUCCCUGAGACUUUAAGUCUCCUGAAGGAACGUUGAAGACGACGACGUUGAUAGGCCGGGUGUGUAAGCGCAGCGAUGCGUUGAGCUAACCGGUACUAAUGAACCGUGAGGCUUAACC